GCAGGCUGCAACCCGCCUGCAUGAAGUUGGAAUCACUAGUAAUCGCGGAUCAGCAUGCCGCGGUGAAUGNGUUCUCGGGCCUUGUACACACCGCCCGUCACACCAUGAGAGUCGGGAACACCCGAAGUCCGUAGCCUAACCGCAAGGGGGGCGCGGCCGAAGGUGGGCUCGAUAAUUGGGGUGAAGUCGUAACAAGGUACC
rnacentral:rRNA from 1 species